rnacentral:rRNA from 1 species
GACGAACGCUGGCGGCGUGCUUAACACAUGCAAGUCGAACGGUGAAGCGCCUUCCUUUUUGGUGGGUGUGGAUGAGUGGCGAACGGGUGAGUAACACGUGAGUAACCUGCCCCCUUCUUCUGGAUAACCGCAUGAAAGUGUGGCUAAUACGGGAUAUUCUGGGUCUGUCGCAUGAUGGGUCUGGGAAAGAUAUUGUUUCGGUGGGGGAUGGGCUCGCGGCCUAUCAGCUUGUUGGUGGGGUGAUGGCCUACCAAGGCGGUGACGGGUAGCCGGCCUGAGAGGGUGGACGGUCACACUGGGACUGAGACACGGCCCAGACUCGUACGGGAGGCAGCAGUGGGGAAUAUUGCACAAUGGGCGCAAGCCUGAUGCAGCGACGCCGCGUGAGGGAUGGAGGCCUUCGGGUUGUGAACCUCUUUCGCCAGUGAAGCAGGCCUGCCUCGUUUGUGGGUGGGUUGACGGUAGCUGGAUAAGAAGCGCCGGCUAACUACGUG